GAUGAACGCUAGCGGCAGGCCUAAUACAUGCAAGUCGAACGGUAACAGGGUAGCAAUACCGCUGACGAGUGGCGCACGGGUGCGUAACGCGUAUGCAACUUACCUUUAACAGGGGAAUAGCCCCGAGAAAUCGGGAUUAAUACUCCGUAACAUUGCGGGAUGGCAUCAUUCUGCAAUUAAAGAUUUAUCGGUUAAAGAUGGGCAUGCGUGACAUUAGCUUGUUGGUGAGGUAACGGCUCACCAAGGCAACGAUGUCUAGGGGUCCUGAGAGGGUUAUCCCCCACACUGGUACUGAGACACGGACCAGACUCCUACGGGAGCAGCAGUAAGGAAUAUUGGUCAAUGGGCGCAAGCCUGAACCAGCCAAUGCCGCGUGCAGGAAGACGGCCCUAUGGGUUGUAAAACUGCUUUUGUCAGGGAAUAAACCUGUCUACGUGUAGACAGCUGAAGGUACCUGAAGAAUAAGCAUCGGGCUAAACUCCGUGCCAGCAGCCGCGGUAAU
rnacentral:rRNA from 1 species